GGGGGCGACAGGCCUCGACGAGGGUUAUGAGGUUCAAGUCGCAUGCCGUGGCGCUGUCACCACGUAAAAAGGCAGCACAAAACACAAACGCCAACACAGAACUGGCACUCGCAGCUUAAUUAAGCCGCGCGCUCUCCCGGAAAUGUCUGCUAACCGGACAGGGCGUCGAUCAGCAGGCUGGUCUGAAGGGAUUUCCCCUGAUCUUCAGGCAAGACUUAAGGGGAUAGGAUUUGGAAUAGCUCUCUUGCCGGCGCUUCCCGAUCUUAAAUUUAAAAGGCAUGAUAAGCAUGUAGACGCUUGAAUUGAGUGCUUUCGGACGCGGGUUCGAAUCCCGCCGCCUCCACCA
rfam:Nitrospira bacterium SG8_35_1 WOR_8-12_88839, whole genome shotgun sequence.